AUAUCUCUCCGUACGGGAAGGAUGAGAAGCUUCGACUAAGGUUCGAUUCGAGCGCAGCGAGAACGC
rnacentral:sRNA from 3 species